UAAACAAAUGUGCUCCAGACAUUGUUCCAAGUGUGCCAUUGAAAAGUGUUGCUGGUGUGGUUCCAGCUGUAAGCUGCAACAUUAAUGUACACAAAAAUAGCUUGGGAUGAGCUAAAAUUAAACACAAAUUUCGUUGAGAAUUUCCUCGUUCUGUGGAAAUUCUAAUGUGCUUGUUCCAAUUAAUGUGCUGUAAAAUAGCUCAACAAAAUGAAGAAUGAACAAUGAAAUGCGGAGGGGAAUUAUAGGCACAAAAAUAAAAUCCACAAGUCAAUACAAAUUCUUCGAGAACGUACUUAAAUAGAGCGCUCAACUUCCUAUUCUUUACUAUAACUAAUAAGUGGUUGGAUGCAGCUGGAUACGCGUGCAUCGUUUUGGAAUUGGGUGCAUCUAUCAACAAAGCUCGUGUCACGCUGUGCCACCAAAUUUUAGUACAUGCGUCACUGAAGAUUUGAUGUUGAUUUAGGCAUCCAUAUCCAAAGCAAAUUGGGCACAUGAUGAUGGAAAUUGAUUAGGCAAGCAUUUAAGCCUUUUGGGUCUGAUUACAAGAGGCGGCACAAGAAUAUUCCCCACGAAAUUUGAGUUCUUGAUUAUUCGAUGCUUUUCAUAG